GUACAAAACAAAUUUCUACAAGUACGAAAAACUGUCACGUGACUUUUGGCACUAAUUUUUCGCCUUGCUGAUCCACACGCAAAUGCCUUCAGAUCCAGACACAUGCUUGUAAACUGUCAUAAGAGAAGAAGAAACGCUAGCGUGAGGGGCGAUUUGAACACGAUGAGCGGCCAACAGGGAUUGUACCUACCACAUUUAGACUGGGAGGACAGUGGCCUGCCUGAUGUGUCACUGUUCCUGAGAUGGGCGAUGUACUGAGUGAUGAACAAAUGGCAGCACUAAGGGCAGCCAUAAAUCCCCUGGGACACACCCAAUCACAUGGCUCAGACAUCUACCUACUUACUGUGCAGUAUGUCCAUCACUUACUAGGCUUACAGUAAAACGUACUCAGCAAAGGACCUGAUUCAAUGCAAUUGUAGCACAAAUACAAAAAGAACACUUAUUUACAGAACAAUGCCCCUGCUAAUAACUGGUU